rnacentral:snRNA from 1 species
UAGUGUUACAGCUCUUUUAGAAUUUGUCAAGCAGGCUUUUUGAUUUUUGCCAGAAAGCCCAG